CAUGAAGUCGGAAUUGCUAGUAAUCGCGGAUCAGCAUGCCGCGGUGAAUACGUUCCCGGGCCUUGUACACACCGCCCGUCACACCAUGGGAGCCGGGAAUGCCCGAAGUCGGUGACCCAACCGAAAGGAGGGAGCCGCCGAAGGCAGGUCUGGUAACUGGGGUGAAGUCGUAACAAGGUAGC
rnacentral:rRNA from 1 species